rnacentral:tRNA from 1 species
GCGAGAGUGGUGAAAUUGGUAGACACGCUAGAUUUAGGAUCUAGUGCCGUUGCGGCGUAAGGGUUCAAGUCCCUUCUCUCGCA